GUCAACCUACUAGGACUGUUUCCCCUCU
rnacentral:piRNA from 1 species